UACAGAGGGGGCAAGCGUUGUUCGGAAUUACUGGGCGUAUAGGGCGCGUAGGCGGCCCGCUAAGUCGUACGUGAAAUCCCCGGGCUCAACCCGGGAACUGCGUCCGAUACUGGUGGGCUCGAAUCCGGGAGAGGGAUGCGGAAUUCCAGGUGUAGCGGUGAAAUGCGUAGAUAUCUGGAGGAACACCGGUGGCGAAGGCGGCAUCCUGGACCGGUAUUGACGCUGAGGCGCGAAAGCCAGGGGAGCAAACGGG
rnacentral:rRNA from 1 species